rnacentral:rRNA from 1 species
UAUCUCUGUAGAGUCUGCAUAUCAAUAAGCGGAGGAAAAGAAACUAACAAGGAUUCCCUUAGUAACGGCGAGUGAAGCGGGAAGAGCUCAAAUUUGAAAUCUUCAAGGUUCUACCUUGACGAAUUGUAGUUUAAAGAAGUGUUUUCUGUUAGAUGAGUAGCAAAAGUUCCUUGGAAUGGGACAUCAUAGAGGGUGAGAAUCCCGUAUUUGGUUAUUCAUUCUAGCUUUGUGAUACACUUUCAAAGAGUCGGACUGUUUGGGAAUGCAGUCCAAAAUGGGUGGUAAAUUUCAUCUAAAGCUAAAUAUUGGCGAGAGACCGAUAGCGAACAAGUACCGUGAGGGAAAGAUGAAAAGAACUUUGAAAAGAGAGUUAAACAGUACGUGAAAUUGUCAAAAGGGAAGCGUUUGACACCAGUGUUGUUUUUCCGAAAAUCAAUUACGAAUGGCUUGAUUUUGUGUUGUAUUGACCUUAUCAGCUUUCUUCACUUUUUUCGAGUCUUUCUUAAUGCACUUUUCGGUUAACAAGUCAACAUCAAUUUCUUUUGUUGUAAAAGAGUAUUCGGAAGGUGGCUUUCUUUUCGGAGAAAGUGUUUAUAGCCCUAUACUUCUACAAUCGGAGAGAUUGAGGUCUGCAGCGUAGAUCCUUCGGGGUUAGAUACACUUGUGCUAAGUUGUAGCUUUUCAUAGACAACUUGUUGACUAUGUUUAGUCAUGCGGCUUACUCGCUUGUGCUAUUUUACCUACGCUUAGGAUGUUGAACUACUGAGACAUAGA